rnacentral:rRNA from 1 species
GACGAACGCUGGCGGCGUGCUUAACACAUGCAAGUCGAGCGGUAAGGCCUUUCGGGGUACACGAGCGGCGAACGGGUGAGUAACACGUGGGUGAUCUGCCCUGCACUCUGGGAUAAGCCUGGGAAACUGGGUCUAAUACUGGAUAUGACCUCAGCAUGCAUGUGCUGGGGUGGAAAGCUUUUGUGGUGCAGGAUGGGCCCGCGGCCUAUCAGCUUGUUGGUGGGGUAAUGGCCUACCAAGGCGACGACGGGUAGCCGACCUGAGAGGGUGACCGGCCACACUGGGACUGAGACACGGCCCAGACUCCUACGGGAGGCAGCAGUGGGGAAUAUUGCACAAUGGGCGGAAGCCUGAUGCAGCGACGCCGCGUGAGGGAUGAAGGCCUUCGGGUUGUAAACCUCUUUCAGCAGGGACGAAGCGUGAGUGACGGUACCUGCAGAAGAAGCACCGGCUAACUACGUG